GGGUUGUCACGCCAGUGGCACUGCCCGGUAGCUAAGUUCGGAAUCGAUAACCGCUGAAAGCAUCUAAGCGGGAAGCGAGCCCUGAGAUGAGUCAUCCCUGACCCCUUGAGGGUCCUAAAGGGCCGUUGGAGACCACAACGUUGAUAGGUGGGGUGUGUAAGUGCAGUGAUGUGUUGAGCUAACCCAUACUAAUUACCCGUGAGGCUUAACCAUACAACACCCAAGAAGUGUUCUG
rnacentral:rRNA from 1 species